rnacentral:rRNA from 1 species
AUUGAACGCUGGCGGCAUGCCUAACACAUGCAAGUCGAACGCCCUCUUUGAGGGAGUGGCAGACGGGUGAGUAACACGUGGGAACCUACCCAGUAGUACGGAACAACACAGAGAAAUUUGUGCUAAUACCGUAUACGCCCUACGGGGGAAAGAUUUAUCGCUAUUGGAUGGGCCCGCGCUGGAUUAGCUAGUUGGUGAGGUAAAAGCUCACCAAGGCGACGAUCCAUAGCUGGUCUGAGAGGAUGAUCAGCCACACUGGGACUGAGACACGGCCCAGACUCCUACGGGAGGCAGCAGUGGGGAAUAUUGGACAAUGGGCGCAAGCCUGAUCCAGCCAUGCCGCGUGAGUGAUGACGGCCCUAGGGUUGUAAAGCUCUUUCAACGGUGAAGAUAAUGACGGUAGCCGUAGAAGAAGCCCCGGCUAACUUCGUG